rnacentral:rRNA from 1 species
ACACUUAGAAAUAGGUGCUAAUACCGCAUAAGCGCACGGAACUGCAUGGUUCUGUGUGAAAAACUCCGGUGGUACAGGAUGGUCCCGCGUCUGAUUAGCCAGUUGGCAGGGUAACGGCCUACCAAAGCGACGAUCAGUAGCCGGCUUGAGAGAGUGAACGGCCACAUUGGGACUGAGACACGGCCCAAACUCCUACGGGAGGCAGCAUG